rnacentral:rRNA from 1 species
AACGAACGCUGGCGGCAGGCCUAACACAUGCAAGUCGAACGCACCGCAAGGUGAGUGGCGCACGGGUGAGUAACACGUGGGAAUGUACCCUUUGGUUCGGAAUAACGUUUGGAAACGAACGCUAAUACCGGAUGAGCCCUGCGGGGGAAAGAUUUAUCGCCAAAGGAGCAGCCCGCGUCUGAUUAGCUAGUUGGUGGGGUAAAGGCCUACCAAGGCGACGAUCAGUAGCUGGUCUGAGAGGAUGAUCAGCCACACUGGGACUGAGACACGGCCCAGACUCCUACGGGAGGCAGCAGUGGGGAAUAUUGGACAAUGGGCGCAAGCCUGAUCCAGCCAUGCCGCGUGAGUGAUGAAGGCCUUCGGGUUGUAAAGCUCUUUCGCACGCGACGAUGAUGACGGUAGCGUGAGAAGAAGCCCCGGCUAACUUCGUGCCAGCAGCCGCGGUAAU